rnacentral:rRNA from 1 species
CCUUUGUACACACCGCCCGUCGUUAUUUCCGAUCGAAUGGCUCGGUGAGGGGGUAGGAGCAACGCGCGCGCCGGCUUGCUGGUCGCGAUGCGGAGCAAACACCUUCGAACUCGGCCAUUUAGAG